rnacentral:rRNA from 1 species
CCUACGGGUGGCAGCAGUGGGGAAUAUUGGACAAUGGGCGAAAGCCUGAUCCAGCCAUGCCGCGUGUGUGAAGAAGGCCUUCGGGUUGUAAAGCACUUUCAGUGGGGAAGAAAGCCUUGGGGCUAAUACCCUCGAGGAAGGACAUCACCCACAGAAGAAGCACCGGCUAACUCCGUGCCAGCAGCCGCGGUAAUACGGAGGGUGCGAGCGUUAAUCGGAAUUACUGGGCGUAAAGCGCGCGUAGGCGGUCUGAUAAGCCGGUUGUGAAAGCCCCGGGCUCAACCUGGGAACGGCAUCCAGAACUGUCAGGCUAGAGUACAGGAGAGGGAGGUAGAAUUCCCGGUGUAGCGGUGAAAUGCGUAGAGAUCGGGAGGAAUACCAGUGGCGAAGGCGGCCUUCUGGACUGACACUGACGCUGAGGUGCGAAAGCGUGGGUAGCAAACAGGAUUAGAUACCCCGGUAGUC